rnacentral:misc_RNA from 1 species
AAGGAGCAUCGGCUGCGGUCAUCUUCGGGUGGUCGUGGUUCAUGCCGUGUUCGUGGGCGAACGUUCCACGCUCGGGCGCUCAUUAGUGGAGCACUGGCUAAUCGGAUGAUUCGGGUCUGCUCGGGUCGGCUGGUACCGUCUGGUUCUUCGGAGCUGGGGAGUGGGAACGUCGGCUGGGGGAUGCGGAUGGGUCUGGACACACUGUUGGGUCCUGAGGAAACGGACAUUAGGGUGGGCGCUGAGGCGGGCUCGCUGUCUGUUGGAGCCUCAUGCGGGACCGAUCAUCUGUCACAUCGGCUUGGGAUGUUUGUCCUGGGUGCUGGUGGCGGGUCUGGUCUGGUCGCUGUUUGUUGUUUGAGAUUUGCAUAGUGGACGCGAGCAUCUUUGUG